AUGGCCAUUAGCAAUGGGCGAGAUAUUUCUUCAGAUGGGGUGAGAUCCUUCGUCAGUCUCUGUGGGAGGGCAGCGGGAGUGGGAGUGGGAGUGGGAGAAAGAUGGAAACUUUCUUCCCAUCCUUGAUCGUCGUCGUCGUCUUCUGCUUGGGCUGAGUAUGAUCUAGCUUCACGACCGGAGCAAUCUCGCCAACAACAGAUGAACCUUGCUUCCAGCGAUAAAGGCAAGGAAUGGAUUGUUUAAGGGGAGCAGAGCAGGAAAGGCAAGGAAGAUGUGUGUGGAAGUGCUGGCAAUAAUCUCAAGAAACGAACAAUUUACCUGCUUAUGGGUGAUGCUUCAAGAAUUUCUUCUUCUUGCUCUAAAAACCUUGGCAACUGGUUUAUAAAAGACAGCGAAGAUUUGUAUCAGCCUAUAGAUGCUUCGGUGAUCAUCAACAACUUCUUCCAAACAAACUGAAGUAGCUACUUCUGGAUCUAUACAAUCUCGAUCAAUGUUUUGCACCAUUGCUUAUCUUUGGCAGUGUCUGUUCGCGUAACGUUAAGUUCUUGAUGCACAAGAACAAUAUGUUUCUUUUUAUGUAAUAUGACAGCCGGUUCAGAGCUUUCUUUUAUAUAAUUUCAGACAACUUUUAUAUUGAGAAAAAUAUUACCAGAUAGUUGG